UCGAGAAUCUUCGGCAAUGGGCGCAAGCCUGACCGAGCGACGCCGCGUGUGGGAUGAAGGCCCUUGGGUUGUAAACCACUGUCAGAGGGGAUGAAAUGCGGGUGGGAACUCCCAUCCGUUUGACAUAGCCUCAGAGGAAGCACGGGCUAAGUUCGUGCCAGCAGCCGCGGUAAUACGAACUGUGCAAACGUUAUUCGGAAUCACUGGGCUUAAAGGGUGCGUAGGCGGCCGUUUAGGUAGGGUGUGAAAGCCUGCAGCUUAACUGCAGAACUGCGCUCUAAACCGGACGGCUGGAGUGAGAUAGGGGUGUGUGGAACUUCCGGUGGAGCGGUGAAAUGUGUUGAUAUCGGAAGGAACGCCGGUGGCGAAAGCGACACACUGGGUCUCAACUGACGCUGAGGCACGAAAGCCAGGGGAGCGAACG
rnacentral:rRNA from 1 species